UCAGGUACUGAGUGACUCUCAG
rnacentral:miRNA from 2 species